rnacentral:rRNA from 1 species
UACGAAGGGGCUAGCGUUGCUCGGAAUCACUGGGCGUAAAGGGUGCGUAGGCGGGUCUUUAAGUCAGGGGUGAACGUCCUGGAGCUCAACUCCAGAACUGCCUUGAUACUGAGGAUCUUGAGUUCGGGAGAGGUGAGUGGAACUGCGAGUGUAGAGGUGAAAUUCGUAGAUAUUCGCAAGAACACCAGUGGCGAAGGCGGCUCACU